rnacentral:rRNA from 1 species
UACGUAGGUGGCAAGCGUUGUCCGGAAUUAUUGGGCGUAAAGCGCGCGCAGGCGGUCCUUUAAGUCUGAUGUGAAAGCCCACGGCUCAACCGUGGAAGGUCAUUGGAAACUGGGGGACUUGAGUGCAGAAGAGGUUAGUGGAAUUCCAAGUGUAGCGGUGAAAUGCGUAGAGAUUUGGAGGAACACCAGUGGCGAAGGCGACUAACUGGUCUGUAACUGACGCUGAGGCGCGAAAGCGUGGGGAGCAAACAGGAUUAGAUACCCUGGUAGUCCACGCCGUAAACGAUGAGUGCUAAGUGUUAGGGGGUUUCCGCCCCUUAGUGCUGCAGUAAACGCAUUAAGCACUCCGCCUGGGGAGUACGGCCGCAAGGCUGAA